rnacentral:rRNA from 1 species
GCUUAGAGUUUGAUCCUGGCUCAGGAUGAACGCUGGCGGCGUGCUUAACACAUGCAAGUCGAACGGUCUCUUCGGAGAUGGUGGCGGACGGGUGAGUAACGCGUGAGAAUCUGCCUUUAGGUUCGGGACAACAGUUGGAAACGACUGCUAAUACCGAAUGUGUCGCAAGAUGAAAGAUUUAUUGCCUAAAGAUGAGCUCGCGUCUGAUUAGCUAGUUGGUGGGGUAAAAGCGUACCAAGGCGACGAUCAGUAGCUGGUCUGAGAGGAUGUUCAGCCACACUGGGACUGAGACACGGCCCAGACUCCUACGGGAGGCAGCAGUGGGGAAUUUUCCGCAAUGGGCGAAAGCCUGACGGAGCAACGCCGCGUGAGGGAGGAAGGCUUUUGGGUUGUAAACCUCUUUUAUCAAGGAAGAUAAUGACGGUACUUGAUGAAUCAGCAUCGGCUAACUCCGUGCCAGCAGCCGCGGUAAUACGGAGGAUGCAGGCGUUAUCCGGAAUAAUUGGGCGUAAAGCGUUCGUAGGUGGUUUUGCAAGUCUGCUGUUAAAGCGUGUAGCUUAACUACAUAAUGGCGGUGGAAACUGCAAAACUAGAGUGCGUUCGGGGCAGAGGGAAUUCCUGGUGUAGCGGUGAAAUGCGUAGAUAUCAAGAAAAACACCGGUGGGCGAAGGCGCUCU